rnacentral:rRNA from 1 species
UACGUAGGGGGGCAAGCGUUGUCCGGAUUUAUUGGGCGUAAAGCGCUCGCAGGUGGUCCGAUGCGUCGCGUGUGAAAGCCCCCCGGCUCAACUGGGGAGGGUCACGCGAUACUGCUCGACUUGAAGGCAGGAGAGGGAAGUGGAAUUCCCGGUGUAGUGGUGAAAUGCGUAGAUAUCGGGAGGAACACCAGUGGCGAAGGCGACUUCCUGGCCUGUUCUUGACGCUGAGGCGCGAAAGCUAGGGUAGCAAACGGG